rnacentral:rRNA from 1 species
AGAGAAUAGAUACCCCGGUAGUCCACGCCCUAAACGAUGGAUACUAGGCGUAAGAGGUAUCGACCCCUCUUGUGCCGCAGCUAAACGCAUUAAGUAUCCCGCCUGGGGAGUACGGCCGCAAGGUUGAAACUCAAAUGAAUUGACGGGGGACCCGCACAAGCGGUGGAGCAUGUGGAUUAAUUCGAUACUAACCGAAGAACCUUACCCAGACUUGACAUCGAUCGCAAGCCUUAGAAAUAGGGCCCUCCCCCACAAGGGGACGUGAAGACACUUGUUGCAUGGCUGUCGUCAGCUCGUGCCGUGAGGUGUACGGUUAAGUCCGCCAACGAGCGCAACCCUCGUCCUGUGUUACCAGCAUGAAAGAUGGGAACUCACAGGAGACCGCCGGUGUAAAUCGGAGAAGGUGGGGAUGACGUCAAGUCAGCAUGGCAGUUACGUCUGGGGCUUCACACAUGCUACAAUGGGCGAAACAGAGGGCCGCAAUACCGUGAGGUGAGCAAAUCCCAAAAUACGCCCCAGUUCAGAUUGCAGUCUGC